AACGCGAAGAACCUUACCCAGACUCGACAUACAGUGGAAGUUAGCAGAAAUGUUAACGCCCUUCGGGGCCGCUGAACAGGUGUUGCAUGGCUGUCGUCAGCUCGUGCCGUGAGGUGUUGGGUUAAGUCCCGCAACGAGCGCAACCCUUAUCGUUAGUUGCCAACAGGUAAUGCUGGGAACUCUAGCGAGACUGCCUGGGUUAACCAGGAGGAAGGUGAGGAUGACGUCAAGCCCGCAUGGCCCUUAUGUCUGGGGCUACACACGUGCUACAAUGGUCGGUACAAAAGGCAGCGAAACCGCGAGGUGAAGCAAAUCCCAAAAGCCGGCCUCAGUUCAGAUUGUAGUCUGCAACUCGACUACAUGAAGACGGAAUUGCUAGUAAUGGCAGGUCAGCAACACUGCCGUGAAUACGUUCCCGGGUCUUGUACACACCG
rnacentral:rRNA from 1 species